rnacentral:lncRNA from 1 species
AUCAUAUCACUUGCCAUCUGUAUAUCUUUUCAUGGUGAGGUGUCUGUUUAGAUCAUUUGCCCAUUUUAAAAAUUGGAUUUUAUUAUUGUUGAGUUUUCAGAGUUCUUUGUAUAUUUUGGAUAACAGUCGGUUAUCAAAUAUGUCUUUUGCAAAUAUUUUAUCCUAGUCUGUGGCUUGUCUUCUCAUUUUCUUGACAGUGUCUUCCACAGAACAGAAGUUUUUAAUUUUAAUGCAGUCCAUCCAAUUUAUUAAUUUUUUCUUUCAUGGAUCAUGUCUUUGAUGUUGUAUCUAAAAAGUCACUGCCAAACCCCGGGUCGUCUAGAUGUUCUCCUGUGUUCUCCUCUGGGAUUUUAUAAUUUUGCAUUUUAUACUUUGGUCUGUGAUGCAUUUUGAGUUAACGUUUGUAAAGGGUGUAGAGUCUGUGUCUAAAUUCUUUUUUGCAUGUGGAUAAACAGUUAUUUGGGCAUCAUUUGUUGAAGAGACUAUUCUUUCUCCAUUGAAUUGCCUUUGCUCCUUUGCCAAAGAUCAUUUCAUUAUUUGGAUGGGUCUAUUUCUGGGCUCUCCAUUGUUCCCUUUGUUUUGUUGGUUUGUUUGUUUUGCCAAUAACACAUUGUCUUGAUUACUAUGGCUUUAUAAUGAAUCCUUUUUUUUUUUUUUUUUUUUUUUUUACAGCGCAGAGGUCUUUUAUUUUCUUUCACCUAUCAUGCCAUGAAUUCAUAGGGAAUGGGUUCCAGCAGCUCAGACUCCUUUCCAUUGGUUGUCACAAAGUGUGCUUCUCUGGGUGGAGCAGGCUGGCGCUUCAGUUGAAGCCAAGUACCCUUCUCUUUGGCUUCCUUCUUUUUCUGAUCACUUUCCUUCACACGUUUCAGGAAGCUAUCCCGGCUCUUAGAGUGCUUAAUAUGCUCAAUACGUACAUUAAUUCUUUUGGCAAGAAUCUUGCCCUUUACCUGUUUGUUUACAACAAUGCCAACAGCAUGCUGGGUAACAUUGUAGAUUCUUCCAGUUUUGCCAUGGUAACAUUUGUGGGGCAUUCCUUUUUGAACAGUGCCCAUUCCCUUGAUGUCUACAAUAUCACCUUUCUUGUAGAUUCACAUUCUGAGACAGCAGUUUCAAUUUUUGGCAUCAUUAAAAAGCAGUUUGUAAAGGACUACGAUAAUCCGUCAUUCCCCUGUUGUUGGAUAUUGUCAGUGUCCUGCCUGUGUCACCUCAGCAUUUACCUCUGCAUGCUGGAGGCUGCUUACUGUGAACAUCUGUGACUCCCCUCUUAGCCCACGUGUGGCGCAAGAUGGAAGUUCCAAGAAGUUAAGGCUCCCAGAAACCACAUCAAAGGAUGACAGAUGGGAGUCGGUGGGUAAAUGCCUUAGCUUCCUCACUCACUGGGUGGGAUGAUCUGAGGUGUGGUCUACACUAUUGCCCAGAGUUCCCCAGUGGGACUGAGUCCCAGUUGCCUGUGGUGGAAACCUCCUCUAUGCCUCACCCUUUAUAGAGUUUCUCUGCUUCCCUGACCCACUUCCUGACUUCUCGACUGGUGCUUCCUGGGAUCACUUCUAAAAUAAACUACUUGCAUGCACAGCCUUGCCUCA